rnacentral:rRNA from 1 species
UGGGGGCAACCCUGAUCCAGCGACGCCGCGUGUGUGAAGAAGGCCUGCGGGUUGUAAAGCACUUUUAGUGGGGAUGAAAAGCACAUUGCUAAUACCAGUGUGUCUUGACCUAACCCAAAGAAAAAGCACCGGCUAACUCUGUGCCAGCAGCCGCGGUAAUACAGAGGGUGCGAGCGUUAAUCGGAAUUACUGGGCGUAAAGCGUGCGUAGACGGUUAUCUAAGUCGGAUGUGAAAGCCCCGGGCUCAACCUGGGAAUUGCAUUCGAGACUGAAUAGCUAGGGUGCGGUAGAGGGAAGCGGAAUUUCCGGUGUAGCGGUGAAAUGCGUAGAUAUCGGAAGGAACAUCAGUGGCGAAAGCGGCUUCCUGGACCAGCACCGACGUUCAGGCACGAAAGCGUGGGGAGCAAACAGGAUUAGAUACCCUGGUAGUCCACGCCAUAAACGAUGAGGACUAGACGUUGGAGGGGUAAGCCUUUCAGUGUCGUAGCUAACGCGCUAAGUCCUCCGCCUGGGGAGUACG